rnacentral:rRNA from 1 species
UACAGAGGUGGCAAGCGUUGUUCGGAAUUACUGGGCGUAAAGGGCGCGUAGGCGGUUCGAUAAGUCCUGUGUGAAAUCCCUCGACUCAACUGAGGAACUGCACGGGAGACUGUCGGGCUUGAGUUCGGGAGAGGGAAGCGGAAUUCCGGGUGUAGCGGUGAAAUGCGUAGAUAUCCGGAGGAACACCGGUGGCGAAGGCGGCUUCCUGGACCGACACUGACGCUGAGGCGCGAAAGCUAGGGGAGCAAACGGG